AACGAACGCUGGCGGCGCGCCUAAUACAUGCAAGUCGAGCGAGAAGACGUAGCAACACGUUUGUAAAGCGGCGAACGGGUGAGGAAUACAUGGGUAACCUACCCUAGAGUGGGGAAUAACUAGCCGAAAGGUUAGCUAAUACCGCGUACGCUCCUUGGACUUCGGUACAGGGAGGAAAGCGAUACCGUGGGUAUCGCGCUCUUGGACGGGCUCAUGUCCUAUCAGCCUGUUGGUGAGGUAACGGCUCACCAAGGCUUCGACGGGUAGCUGGUCUGAGAGGACGAUCAGCCACACUGGCACUGCGACACGGGCCAGACUCCUACGGGAGGCAGCAGUAAGGAAUAUUGCGCAAUGGGCGAAAGCCUGACGCAGCGACGCCGCGUGGGGGAUGAAGGUCUUCGGAUUGUAAACCCCUUUCGGGAGGGAAGAUGGAACGAGCAAUCGUUCGGACGGUACCUCCAGAAGCAGCCACGGCUAACUUCGUGCCAGCAGCAGCCGCAGUAA
rnacentral:rRNA from 1 species